CCUACGGGGGGCAGCAGUGGGGGAUAUUGCACAAUGGGGGGAACCCUGAUGCAGCGACGCCGCGUGGGUGAAGGAGCGUUUCGGCGCGUAAAGCCCUAUCGGCAGGGAAGCAGAUGACGGUACCUGGCCAAGAAGCCCCGGCUAACUACGUGCCAGCAGCCGCGGUAAUACGUAGGGGGCAAGCGUUAUCCGGAUUUACUGGGUGUAAAGGGGGCGCAGACGGCAAUGCAAGCCAGGAGUGAACGCCCGGGGCCCAACCCCGGGACUGCUCUUGGAACUGCAUGGCUGGAGUACAGGAGGGGCAGGCGGAAUUCGUAGUGUAGCGGUGAAAUGCGUAGAUAUUAGGAGGAACACCGGUGGCGAAGGCGGCCUGCUGGACUGUGACUGACGUUGAGGCCCGAAGGCGUGGGGAGCAAACAGGAUUAGAUACCCCUGUAGUC
rnacentral:rRNA from 1 species